rnacentral:rRNA from 1 species
GAUGAACGCUGGCGGCGUGCCUAAUACAUGCAAGUCGAGCGAACAGACGCGGCUCUUGCUCCUCUGUCGUUAGCGGCGGACGGGUGAGUAACACGUGUAUAACCUACCUAUAUGACUGGUAUCAUUUCGGGACUCCGGCUCUUAUACCGUAUAACAUGCUGCACCGUAUUGUUCAACAGUGAAAUUCGGUCUUUCUGUCACUUAUAGAUGGAUCCCCGCCGCAUUAGCUAGUUGGUAAGGUAACGGCUUAUCAAGGCAACGAUGCGUAGCCGAACUGAGAGAGUGAUAGGCCACACUGGAGCGGAGACACGGUCAAGACUACUAAGAGAGGCAGCAGUAGGGAAUGUGCCGCAAUGGGCGAGAACAUGACGGAGCGACGCCGCGUGAGUGAAGGAGGUCUUCGGAUCGUAAAAAUCUGUUAUUAGGGAAGAACAGAUGUGUAAGGAAAUAUGCACGUAUUGACGGUAACGAAUCAGAAAGCCACGGCUAACUACGUG